ACCAGCAGCCCAGGCUGCCCAGAGCCACAUCCAGCCUGGAUUUGACUAUGUUUAACAUUGAAAAAGAUGAACAGUGAGUGAAGUGGUGUCUGCUUUGGUGUUCAACACACCAGGGUGUAGGGGAGAUUUCAGAGCAGCAGCACCAACAUGGCAUGGUGUCAUCUUGUGCAUACAGCAGUGAAGAUGUGACAUGUUUCCCUCAGUCCCCUGGCUCAGGUGCUCACAGCCAGGUGGGCAGGCUGCCUUGUGGCUUGGAUGGAACAGCUUUAUCUGUGUCGUUAACCACAAAAUAUGAAAGUGAGCAGGAGAUAAAUAGCAUGAAAUACCAAACCUCUCGUGGCAUAUGAGGAAAUCCCAGCAUGGAUCCUUAUUUCUCUCAGGACACACAACUGCUCUCUCCUGUUGUUUCUCCCUUCCCCUCAACACAACAAAAGCAAACAAAACAAGAAGCCUUUGGCACUAAGCAGAACCAGAUGAGGUGCGGGACUGGUGGAGCUGCUCUCUUCCUGGUCUCUGUGCAGCGCAGCUUUCGCUGCUGCAAGGCAUGUGCUGUGUGUGACUCAGUGCAGCUUGUUUUACCACCAGGAACAAGGCAGCCUUGCAGUGCAGCGACUGGUAAAGAGGAAACCAGUGGUUAUGCCUGGAACGAGGAAAUCACUGUUGUAAUUGGUACGUAAUGAGUAUUGUAUUCCUGCCGCUAAGGUUUUGAAAGUAACAGUAGGCCUUACAAAGGGAUAUUUACUAUGCCACCCAGAAACAUUGAGCAGAGAGAAACAUGAAACAUCGUGUUUACAGACAUACACAAACUUAUCCCAGCGUCUCACAGCUUGCAAGGCAAAUGCAAGAUCUGUUUGGUAUCUUCUGCAGAAUCAUUGCGUUCUGAGGAGCUCCUCAGCUUGUGUUAACAAAGUCACCAAAUCCCGCACGUUCUGCCACUUCUGAGGCAUUGUUAGGCCAGCCAGAAAAACAAGAAUCACAGAACAUGAAAACUGUGGGAUUUUAAUUCAGAGCCCAGAACGGUGCAGGAAUUUUCCUAAAGUGGAACCUGUGAAAAACUGCCCCGGCAGCGUGGGGUGCUCCCUUUCCUUCUAAAACCUUCCUUGUUCUGCUGAAUUUUACCUUAAGGUUAGAAGUGGAGCUGCUUUCUAAAAACGCAUUUGCAUGCAUCAGUUGAAGUAAGAAACCAGGAAAUACGCAGAACAGAAAUACUCUAAAAGCUGCGUGCUUCCCUAUAACAUCACAGCAAGCGCUGCUUUCUGGAACAGUAGUCCAGAUAAAGUCAUUUGUCACGCUGAUAAAAACGGCAGCAUUUUUCCUGCCCACCCAGUUCUGGGGCUGAUAGGAUUUGGUUCAGCCUGAUCUGAAGCAGCAGAGUGGGAAAGGCAUCUUUCAUGUGUAGAGCUCAUCAGAGGCAAGAGAAAAACAAGUGUCUCUCAACACCAUUGCUUUUAUUCUAGAGACAGAAAUAUUAGCUUGGUUCCAAGAAAAGUGAAAAGGAAAAGGAAAGUGUCACAUUGACAAUGAAUAGUGCAGAGGCGGUGCAGUUUGUACUGUAUUCUCUGUGCAUAAAUUCCCGAUAACAUAAGUUUUUAGUCUUCUCUUGUCAUUUAUGCAGUGAACAUACAGAUGUAGAAGUGUAUCCAAGCUUCAAGUUUCUGUAGUUCCUUGCAAAGGGCUUUUUUAAACAUGCAGAAGGCUCUUAUAAUGCAGACAUGGAUCUGGUACAGUAUUAUUCCCUGGAAAGGUGGGAGAAGUUUGCAAAGUUUGCUUUCUUACACAUUCAGCUUCUCCCCACUUAGUUUUUUUCGAUCACAGUCAAACCUUUCUUGAAAGAGUGAAGAGCAUGUUUCCCUUUGAGGUGGGUGGUGUGGUGCAUCCCAAAGCCUGCCUUGGGAAGACACCACUUUAAGGAUGUGAACUCAAAUGAUGGAGAGCCAGGAGCAGGCAGGGGUAAAGAGAGACAUUAGUUCAAUUAUAAAAGGCAUUUCUGGAUGUUCAGUACUUGUGUCUCACUGUGAGUAAUCCCAGUCACACCCCUGGAAGCUUUUGUUUCACACUGACUUGAGCUUCAUACAGCUGUGUCUGAUUACAUAUUCCUGAAGCUGGAUGUGUAGAGCCUUCUCCUCGUGUCCUGAGCUCGGGUUUGGUGUACAGACAUAACAGCACCUGUCUGCAAAACUAAGCUUCAUUAAGAUGGAAAGGAAAUGCUAGUGAUGCAUACAUGGCAACCAGCAGGUCAGGAGAGUUGGUAUGCAGAGGAAUGGGAGCAGCUGAAAAUAGCUGAAAAUAAGAAAAGAACAGAAAAGGAAACGAUCUCUGAAGUAGAAGCACAGAGGACUCUGCUCCUGAGGACUGGUUCAUAUCCCAGCUCCACACAGCCGAGUGCUCCGACCGGGGACUGGUGCGAUAGCAUCUCACUGUACAGAUUCCGUAAUUAAUUUUAAUUUCUUUAAUUAAGUAUUUAGUCUUUGGGGAAGGAGUAUGAAAAAGUUGUUUCAUAAACUGACAAUGGGCAAUUGUUCUAAGUUUCUUAUCCUGCAGGCAAGCAGGAUAAUGAGAGCUAUAGAAAUACUUGGGCAGAUUGAUUGCACGGAGCAGAUAGGAAUCCCCUGGCACAGUCCUCUCAUCUGUUUGCAAAGUAACAGGCACCUCCCAGCUCUUCCAGUGAACAUCACUGUUACCCCGUGCUGCAAGUAGUUAAACCAGCUUUGAGUGCAGCUACUGGGGGACAACACUGAAAUUAAAGAAAUACAGAAGAAAAUGGACAAAUGGGUCUGAGUUCCACUCUGUUGUGAGCAGGACCAAAAAGCAGCUCACAGAAAAAAUCUGGAGACAUCGAUGAGUUCAGAUUCAAGGGCAGACCCAGAGAUUUGUAUCCAGAUGUAUUUUCCCUGCAUAUGUGGAAGAAAUCUUUACAGACUGACUCAGAAACCGUCCUGUAUGAUACCAUGUGCAUGUGUCAGACCAGGAGGUGACUGAGAUAAUGGCUACUAAUCACAUUUAUUGGACUCCUUGCAUUCAGUGUGUGGGGGCUUCACUCCACUACAGUUCCUCCACAAAGACAAAUCCUCAUUUGAAGCCUUACAGCUUGGGUAGUUAAAGUGGCUGCUGACUCAACCUCAUCCCUUCAUCAAACAUUACAUCAACAGACAGCAGAAACUGGGGAAAUAAUGUUAUCAAAAGUCUAAUAUCGAAACUCCCAAUACUUUACCAAACUCACAUAAAAUAAAAUGACAUAAAAGAAAGCCAACAGAUGUAGUGUCAUAUGGACUUGCUUAAUGGCAAUGCUUAGCCUUUCAGAAAAAGGUUUACAUCUACAUUUACUACUGAAACCUGGCAUUUAUAUUGAAUAAUUCAUAAGUUGUUGCUUUCUGUGCUUUGCUGCUUUCCUUAUAUGCAUGAACCGAAAUAACGUUAUCUCUGCUCUAAGGGGAGGAGAUCAAUCUGUACAUAUGCAGAUAUUUUUGUCAUUGUUCUGUAGUGUAUAAAUACGCAUUUAACUGAACCGGUGCUAAAAUUUCAUCUUUGCUUAUGACAGAAAUGCUCUGUACAGAUUUCAUUUGCAACACGACUGUGCUUCCAACUAAUUCUCCCAAGACUCUCCCAGGUAUUUUGGCAACAGUCGCAUGUAGUUUGGGCACGUGUUUCCAUGCCUACAUGUGCCUCAUUUUAAGACAAACUCAUCCCUCUUCACUCUUAGCACAGCUGCAAAUGAGAUCGCUGCCAGGGCUUCUCCACCCUUCCACCUUUUACCUGUGACCUCAGCACAGAAAGGAUUUGAAGAUACCCUUGGAUUCAGGAUCUGCACAGAACCUCAGCAAAUGGGAGUUCCUAGGAGUGAGUUCCUUCCUAAAGCUCGCAGAGCAGCCUGGGCCAGUCCCUGACUUAUUCACACACCUGGAGACAGAGCCCUGUUCUGCAUCCUGCCUUGAAGACUUCACCGAUGAACCAAUAGCCACAAACUCAAAGCACAGGUUUCCUGCUUGAAUCCCCCUCACACACCCAGUGCUCGUCACCUGUACUGCAGUUCUUCUCUCUGCACUGACUGCCUUCCUCUGGGCUGGAACACAAAAGAAGACUUUGUGAAACCUGUCACCAUUUCUGGGGGUAAAUGUUCACUUUUUGUCCCUCAGAAGCAGAGAGGAACUUCCAGGACUGAUCACAGAUCAUGUUCAAGCCUGCAGCAGAGGUUGGUGCGACUUUCUGGGUACCAGUGCAUGGGCAGCACGUGGCAGCAGCACUGACAGUGGCAGCAAACAGCUCCAGGUCUGACCUCUGCAUCUGAGCAUGGAGCAGGUACGUGUUGGCUCUCUGCGUUCCCCACCAACCCCAGCCCCCAGCGCACACGGCUGCCGCAUCACCACCACUGGCUUUUUGGGAGCCUCCAGUGUUCUUCCAAAGCCUUCUAGACAUUGGUUUGAGCUGAGCUUGCAGUGAAUUUGGAGCUAAGUUACCUGUUUGUGUUUUGGGUUUUGUAAAUCAGCACUGAACUGAAGGCACUCCGUUACCGGGUUCUCAGGGCAUCCUGCAGUGUGAGGGCUUGCUGCUGGUGCUGAUGGCCGUGUCCUGGUGUGGCUCUGUGCCUGGAUUCCACCAGCUAAAGCCUCAGCAGCCGCCAGCUCCCAACUUACCUGCAGAUGCUACCCGCGUUCAUGUGGACAAACUAAGGGUUGGACCCAGGCUUGUGGGCUGAGCUGCAAACUCACUUGGCUUCAGUGCCUUUAACUGAAUGUUAUCACAGUCGGUUUCUAUUGAAUUGGAGAGCGGUGCCCAUGGCCUGAUAUAAGCCUGGGCAUCCCGUGGUACUUGGCGUUUUGCAGUGAGAGGAGACAGUCCCUGCCCCGAAGAGAACAUCACAGGAACUUUUUUUUCUGGUGAUUUAAUCAUAAUAUUGACAACUUUAUCAAAAAUUACAAAACUGAUAUUAAAAAAAUUUCUAAUUCUUAGUAAGUCUAGAAUGGGUUUCUUUUUUUAAAAAUAGAAAAGCACUUUUAUGCUACUGCUCUUCUGGAAUUCUCACAUUACAACCCUACAUAGCAAAAUACAAAUGUAGCUAAGAAAGGUAGCAGGCCUAAGGUACUUCAGUCCACCACGAGCCCUCUAACAACUUCUAUACCAUCAAACUCAGGGACUCCAAAAGGGUAUCACAGUACGUAGAAACCUUCUGCAGAACUCAGCUAGGAAAUGCCUGGUAAUGUUACGUUCCUUCUAACCCCGAAAUCCUUAGACUGUGAGUAUGAGACCUGGGACAGCAGAGGUGGGAAUCAGUAUUACUUUUUUCCCUCUGUGAAUAUUUACUUUUGCAGCUGAUUCCAACCAAACAUUCUCUGCAAGAAGUGAAAAUACGAAGAAAAUCCAUCGAAACGAAUGAAAAACAUUAUUAUUAUUAUUAUUAUUUUUAUGGUGUUCACAAAACGCACCAUAACAGUAAUGAGGAAGAUUUCCUUUCAUCGCAACGCCCCAACCGCGCCGGCACCGCGGAGUGGAGGAGCAAUAAAUAAAUAAAUAGUGGGAGCCACGGCGCCGCGGGGCGAUUCUGUGUCACUGUGCCACGGACGGACAAAAGCCUCUCCUUCCACUUCCCACAAUGGAGUAGGUUUUUUUUUUCCUUUUUUCUUUUUUUUUUUCCUUUUUUUUUUUUCACCUUUUAAAUAUAGGAAUUCUCUCUUAAAUUAGAAAGUAGGCAAAAAGUAUUAUUAAUUAUUAUUAUUAUUAUUAUUUUAAAGUUUCAUUUUAAGUCUUCUAUUAGAAAAAAUAGAGAUUUAUUAAACAAAAAAUAAUAAGGUAGAAAGAAGGGUUGGGCCUCCAUCAAAAAAGUAUAUUAUGCUUUAAUGCAAAGAGAAAGAAAUGGCUCUAUGGGCAAAAUUCAAGUACGAGUGACCAGUUUUUUAAUCGUAAAGUAGGUGCAACAUUUCUUAAAAUGUUCCAACACCGCAUGACCUGUAAUGCUCACAAUAUUUACAUUAACUGCUUACAUGAAACCAGGAAAGCUCUAAAAGAGGAAAAAAAAAAUGGUAUGGACUGAAACAAACUACUCCUAGCACCCACAGCAAUGUCAUCAUUAACCAAUGAAAUCAAGUGCACAAAAAUACUUUACAUAGUCUACCGAUGUAAAGUAUACAUUGGUGAGGAAGUACAAACCUAAGGAGUUAGAUGCCAAAAGAAGGUUGCUCGAUACAAACUCCACUCUAGGACAGAAAGCAAAGGCAGAACCCAACCGAACGGAACCAGGCACGCACACAGGCAUGUGGACACCCGCGGCGUGGGCAUCCGACACAGGAGGGACACGCGGCAGCAAAGCAGGCUGCGAUGGGGAUGGACAACGUCAACUCUUGGAACAGAACAAACACAUCAACUUGGAACAUAAAAAUGCCGACUACGCUACACAAAAAAAAUCACUCCACAUGAGUCUGCAUGUAGGACCGUGGUGUUACACACAUGACAAAUGAACCUACCCCGCGGAAGGAAGGGCUCCUGCUCCAGGCCCCUGUAGCCAGUGUAGCUAUUGCAAUCCCUCGGGCUGGGGAAGGAGGAGAAAGAGCUGUUUGGUGAGACACGAGGAAGCGGUGAGCCUGGAGGGACUGCUCUGCGCUGGAGCCCUGGGGGCUGGGGUCCUCAGGGCCAGCUGGCCUCUGCCACGGGCUGCAUGCAGGGCUGCUGCUCCCGGAGCCAACGGGACGCCGACUGCUGCCAGUGCUGGGCCAGGGGAAGACAGAGGGGGGCCCUGGCUGUGCCCGGGGGCCACAGCGGUGAGCUGGGAGCUAUUUCAGGAAGCCCUGAGGACAGAGGGUGUCACUGCUUCCAUCGCCAUCACCACCAUCCAUGUGAAAAAUGUAUGAGCUAGAAUGGAAAUAACGUUGUGCUACGCUUCCGUUCGUUAAUUUAUAAUGGCUCAUAGCUUUAGACUUUUAAAUCUGUAGUGUAUUAAUUUCUUCUACAUUUGUUUCACAUUUCUCACUUAAUAUAACAUAAAUAAUUUGGUUAAUAGAUUUAACCUGCACAUUUCAGCCACAUUAAUAUAUAUAAGAAAUCUGUUAAUGGUAUAAAUAAUUCUUUUUAAAUAAAAUAAAUCUGAUAUGUUACAUAAUACUGAUAAAAAUUACUGUUGCUAAUAGUUCUGUAAGCCACCCCUGAUUUUCUGUUUCAGGACUGUGAGAUGGGUCUGGGAUUACCUCUCCGAGCGCUGGGAGCACGCCGUGCCUUCUGCAAAACCAAUCUGCAGCCAGCACCAAUCGUGUGCUGGAGCACCAUUAACAGCCAACGCGAUGCUUUACCAUGUCAGGUAAUUGCAGCUAAUCCACCUAGGUGCUCGGAGGUCAGGGUUACUGGGGGUAGAAACUCUUUAGUUUAGCAAGUGGCUAUGAAACCUUAACUACAGAAAUAGCUGACUAAAAUAGCCCAUCUACUUUUUCCUUAAUAAAAUCUACACCCUCCUACUUUAAAAGUUAAGUAAAUAAAAAUGCAACCAACAGUUGCAGCCUUUGAAUCGUUACUUAGAGCUGUGAUCCCACGUCCCGUUAGGAAUCUGCAAGGUUGCACUCUCCUACAGAGACCUGAAAUGGAGUACAGUACUUCCAGGCAAGGUUCAUUCCAAACAGACAGGAUAAAUGGACACUCAGUGGCGUGAAGUGUAUGUCAUAAUUAAGGUAUUACAUAAUCAUGCCUUCUCUCUGCUGUUAAAUACAAAAACAGCAUCUUUUACAUUAUCAUAUAAAAGCAUUUAGGCUGUAUUUUUAUUUAUCACUUUACACUGGUAGUCUCUUGUAUGUGUACUCAAUAGAAACCAAAGAAUUUUGUACACUAUUUUUUUUUUUUUUGUA